UUCUGCACAAGUACGGCGGCCUGUACGUCGAUUUGGACCUCAAGCCGAGCGCGCGG
rnacentral:ribozyme from 1 species